rnacentral:rRNA from 1 species
GACGAACGCUGGCGGCGUGCCUAAUACAUGCAAGUAGAACGCACAGUUUAUACCGUAGCUUGCUACACCAUACACUGUGAGUUGCGAACGGGUGAGUAACGCGUAGGUAACCUGCCUGGUAGCGGGGGAUAACUAUUGGAAACGAUAGCUAAUACCGCAUAAUAUUGAUUAUUGCAUGAUAAUUGAUUGAACGAUGCUAUUGCAUCACUACCAGAUGGACCUGCGUUGUAUUAGCUAGUAGGUGAGGUAACGGCUCACCUAGGCGACGAUACAUAGCCGACCUGAGAGGGUGAUCGGCCACACUGGGACUGAGACACGGCCCAGACUCCUACGGGAGGCAGCAGGAGGGAAUCUUCGGCAAUGGACGAAAGUCUGACCGAGCAACGCCGCGGGAGUGAAGAAGGUUUUCGGAUCGUAAAGCUCUGUUGUAAGAGAAGAACGGGUGUGAGAGUGGAAAGUUCACACUGUGACGGUAUCUUACCAGAAAGGGACGGCUAACUACGUG